rnacentral:rRNA from 1 species
CCUACGGGAGGCAGCAGUAGGGAAUCUUCCACAAUGGGCGAAAGCCUGAUGGAGCAACGCCGCGUGGGUGAAGAAGGUCUUCGGAUCGUAAAACCCUGUCGUUAGAGAAGAAAGUGCGUGAGAGUAACUGUUCACGUUUGGACGGUAACUAACCAGAAAGCGACGGCAAACUACGGGGCAGCAGGCGCGGGAAUACGAAGGUGGCAAGCGUUAUCCGGAUUUAUUGGGUGUAAAGGGAAUGCAGGCGGGCUUUUAAGUCUGAUGUGAAAGCGUUCGGGUUAACCGGAGUAGAGCUUUGGAAACUGGGAGACUUGAGUGCAGGAGAGGAGAGUGGAACUCCAUGUGUAGCGGUGAAAUGCGUAGAUAUAUGGAAGAACACCAGUGGCGAAGGCGGCUCUCUGGUCUGUAACUGACGCUGAGGUUCGAAAGCGUGGGUAGCAAACAGGAUUAGAUACCCCAGUAGUC